UUUGUCAGGACAGAUCUGUAUAGAGAUGACCUACCACCUGCCAUGACUUGCUAGACUUCUCUUUGUAGAAUGGUGCAUCAUCUGUGUCCUGCUGUCAGAAAACAUUUGUCAGCCAACGUUUGCUUUGUUUUGUCCUUACUUCUACUUCUCAUCACACUACCUUGUACACAAGGACAUGUUAACAUUCUAUGCUGGCUUCUUGAAGACUGCUGCAAUAAGAUGUUCCUGUAAUGUGAACUUCAACAGGAAGAUAGUCUGUAGAUGUUCCUGAUACCUUGGAUAUUGCAAGAAAACAGAUGUGCUUGGAGUACUUGAUAAUCCUUGACAAUCUCACUUUGAAUGAGGGACCAGGAAAUGGAGAGCACAGAAAUAAGAAACCUUUUUUUUUUUUUUUUCUUUUUUUGGUUGCACUUGAUCAUUCUUGAAUCUUGACACUGGGGACGAAGAUUUGGGCAAGGUUCCAAACUGGCUCUUCCCCUUGAAAUCCGUUCUUAUGUCCCGAUGUGCACAUGAAGGUGAGCAUUAAGUCUAGCGUUUCAGUUUUAAAUCUCAAUUCCCUUGCUCAGUUUCAGGGCCAAACAUUUGCUAGGGGAUACACACAUACAGCAGAUCAGUAGCCUUCUUUCAGGAUACCUGCUUCCACUAAAUGUGUGAAGAAGCUAACAUUAUACUAGACAUUUUGGCCAAGAGACCCGCUAAUUAAGCAGCAAUGUAGCCCCACCCUGACCAAGCAUAUUUCUUUUGGUUUAGCACUCUUCACAACCCACUGCCACUAUGACCUGAAAUGAUUGCCCAUGCUAUUUGGAUUUUAGACAGCCAUUUCUUCAGGUCACAGUCUAAGCCCAGCUUAGGUUCCUGGAAGAGUUGUUCAAAGGAUGUCUAAGAUGGGAAAAGGAUAUGAAGGGUGGUUCAGUAAGAGUCUGCACUGAAAUGGAGCACUGGCAAUUCUAAAUCUAAAUCUAGGCUGUACCCAUAGGUAACUUAAACAUUUUUUCUCCUGUCAUGCCUCCCUUCCCCAAACAAAACUCUUCAGCCUACUGAUCCAGAGACAGCUGCAUUUGACUGUUUAUCUGACGCUUGAGAACUGAAAACGCAUCUUUUGUGCUAUAAAGGGUCUCCAGUAUAGUGGGCUGCUAAACCUGCUUUUCAUGGCUUCAGGGAUCAUCUUAUCAAUGAAAAAUUAAAGCUGUUCAGUACACAAAUCAUCAUAACUUAUGAUAAUUGUAAUUUGAAUAACUGGGAACCUCUUAUUCAGUGUAGCAAGCAGCACCUGAUAAGGUUAGCACAUGUUCUUAAAACAGGCUAUUGUCAGCUGUACACAUAUUGAAUAUAAUGCUGCUGGACCUCUGGGCUCCCUGAAAGAAAUGGGACUCCGUAGGUACUCUUAUAGCUUGGCUGCUGACCAGUUUAAUAUGAACUGAACACACCAUCCAAACACAGGGCUCCUAGGUGGACCAUCAGAAACAGAGGUUGGUUUGGGGGCUCUGAAAGGGAAAGCAGUGAGCUUUCGUGCUCUGAGGUUAGAGGUGAACAGCCAGGACCAUUGGAAAGUUAUUCUUCUACUGUCUUGCUCAAAACAAUGUCCUACAGAUCAUGUGCAGGCUACACUUAUUGCGGCUUCAUUUUUUUUUUUUUUUCAUUUUCAUUAUUUCAUCCACCAGACUUAGGCCAGUACCACUGCAGGAGGUGUGAGGGUGACAAACCAUCUGAAGGAACUGAGCCACAUGAAGCAGAAGAUAAAAAAUAUAAUUAUUUGUGUUGGCAUACCUGAGGAGCAGCGUGGAAUGAGACCCCUGAAGCCUGUGUCACGGGCAGUGGUCAUCAGCUGGGGGCCUUAGAUUUGGCAGUCAGGUGGUGGCAGUAAUAUUCCGAAGUUAGAAGUGCUUCUGCUGUGUCAAGCCACCCCUGCGAUGGGAAUUCUGUACAAAUCAUGGCAGUGCUCUCCACCAAAUGUUCUGUAGGACUAAAAGGCAAAACGAAUAGUAAGUGACUUAAGUGAGGCUACUGGCUUGCUUCAAAUUAUUCCAAAUUAAGUCA